AGCGAACGCUGGCGGCAGGCCUAACACAUGCAAGUCGAACGAACCUUUCGGGGUUAGUGGCGGACGGGUGAGUAACCCGUGGGAACGUGCCUUUAGGUUCGGAAUAACUCAGGGAAACUUGUGCUAAUACCGAAUGUGCCCUUCGGGGGAAAGAUUAAUCGCCUUUAGAGCGGCCCGCGUCUGAUUAGCUAGUUGGUUGAGGUAAUGGCUCACCAAGGCGACGAUAAGUAGCUGGUCUGAGAGGAUGAUCAGCCACAUUGGGACUGAGACACGGCCCAGACUCCUACGGGAGGCAGCAGUGGGGAAUCUUGCGCAAUGGGCGAAAGCCUGACGCAGCCAUGCCGCGUGAAUGAUGAAGGUCUUAGGAUUGUAAAAUUCUUUCACCGGGGACGAUAAUGACGGUACCCGGAGAAGAAGCCCCGGCUAACUUCGUG
rnacentral:rRNA from 1 species